UGCCAACACACAUUCAGAGGUCGGCUAUUGGAUCUGAUUCUAAUCAGCUCAAACGAGAGCUAGGGAAACUGAACUAUUUCCAUUUUAACUGCAGAUCUUUGGACGACUGUGAGACGAAUGGCAGCUCUUCCUGGGAACGUGCUGACCGUCAGCAGUGUUACUGAGUGUCUUCUUUCUUCCAGGUGCUUUGCCUCGUUACUGUGAUAAAAAAUCAGCGGGCUUGCAAUAUCACUGCACCAAACAACAUUGAAGCUCUGAGUGGAUCUUGUUUGGCGAUCCCAUGUAGUUUUACUACAAAUAAUUCAAAUUUUAAUAGGACCAUUAGUAUCUAUGGAGUUUGGAUGAAACAUACUUUAGACUUUGAGUCUAAUAAAAAGAAUGUUAUUUUCAACAGCAGUGAGUCAGUAAACAAUUAUUCAUUGGAAUUAAGUGGAAACCUUGCAGAUAAAAACUGCACCACUCUGUUUACUGAAAUAAACUUAAGUUAUGCAGACACAUACUUCUUCAGGAUUGAGAACGGACAAUUCAAAGCAACAGCCUGCGCUCAUCCUCUCAAUAUAU